UUCACCUUUGAGCACUAAGCUAAAAAUAAAGGGGCCAAAAUCAAUGUUGUGCUAUCAUAUCAUAAACGUGGAGAAACCCCAUUUGAUAAAAAAGAAUUAGAGACCGUUAUGCAUAACUAACUUGCGUGCAUCGAAUCUUGAAUAAUACAAACUCAAAGAAGCAGUCCUGUAUCUUUCAGUUUACUCCUAAAGAAAAAUCAAGAAACCACUGCAAACUCUCUCGUUUUCCUUUCUGUUCUUACAAAAAACCAGAUGUCUCCUGAGAGACUUGACGAGGAGAAAUUGUUUGCAAAGGGAACUCAGUCUGAUGUUAAAAGCUCAACUAUAGAGCAACUUGGUGACAAGAAUAAUUCUGUGGAAGAGGACUAAGAAGCUGCUAUUCUUGCCGGUGCCGGUGAGGAAAAUGAUGGUAUCCGUAACGGUGACGGUGACGGUGACGGUGGUGUUGGUGAUAAUUUGGGCAACGGUGGUGCUGGCGAUGAACUGGGUAACGAUGGUGCUGGUGCUGGCCAUGAACUGGGCGAUGAUCUGGGUAAUGAUGGUGCUGGUGCUAAUAGUAAUGGUAACGGUGAUGUUGGUGAUAACGGUAACGGAGACGGGGGCGCCGGUGAUAACGGUAACGAAGAUAUGGGUGAAGAAAUAAUGUAUUUUUGUGAACGGGUAAUGAUAACGGUAACGAUAUUGGGAGCGGCGGUGGCGUUAAUACUGUGGUUGGUGUACAAUCCAUAUAGAUAUAGACAUAUCACGUAUAUAGACUAGUUAAACCGUGACCCAAUCAUCAGUAUAGGUUGUGUUGGUAUUGUUAUCGUUGUUGCUGUAUGAGAUGUUGAGCUGCGUAUUGUUGCUUUUAUCAAAUUUCCUCAAAUCCAUCUA